AGCGAACGCUGGCGGCAGGCCUAACACAUGCAAGUCGAACGGCAGCACAGAGGAGCUUGCUCCUUGGGUGGCGAGUGGCGGACGGGUGAGGAAUACAUCGGAAUCUGCCUUAUCGUGGGGGAUAACGUAGGGAAACUUACGCUAAUACCGCAUACGACCUACGGGUGAAAGCGGAGGACCGCAAGGCUUCGCGCGAUAAU
rnacentral:rRNA from 1 species